CUGAUGCAGCCAUGCCGCGUGUGUGAAGAAGGCCUUCGGGUUGUAAAGCACUUUCAGUUGUGAGGAAAGGUUGGUAGUUAAUACCUGCCAGCUGUGACGUUAACAACAGAAGAAGCACCGGCUAACUCCGUGCCAGCAGCCGCGGUAAUACGGAGGGUGCGAGCGUUAAUCGGAAUUACUGGGCGUAAAGCGCACGCAGGCGGCUUGUUAAGCUAGAGGUGAAAGCCCCGCGCUCAACGUGGGAACUGCCUUUAGAACUGGCAGGCUAGAGUCUUGGAGAGGGGAGUGGAAUUCCAGGUGUAGCGGUGAAAUGCGUAGAUAUCUGGAGGAACAUCAGUGGCGAAGGCGGCUCCCUGGCCAAAGACUGACGCUCAUGUGCGAAAGUGUGGGUAGCGAACAGGAUUAGAUACCCUGGUAGUCCACACCGUAAACGCUGUCUACUAGCUGUUUGUGUAUUUAAUACGUGAGUAGCGAAGCUAACGCGCUAAGUAGACCGCCUGGGGAGUACGGCCGCAAGGUUAAAACUCAAAUGAAUUGACGGGGGCCCGCACAAGCGGUGGAGCAUGUGGUUUAAUUCGAUGCAACGCGAAGAACCUUACCUACUCUUGACAUCCAGGAAAUUUUUCAGAGAUGAAUUAGUGCCUUCGGGAAUCCUGAGACAGGUGCUGCAUGGCUGUCGUCAGCUCGUGUCGUGAGAUGUUGGGUUAAGUCCCGCAACGAGCGCAACCCUUGUCCUUAGUUGCCAGCAUUAAGUUGGGCACUCUAAGGAGACUGCCGGUG
rnacentral:rRNA from 1 species